GCACAGGGUUGCUGCAAGCGUCACAGCCUCCACCCCGACGCCCACGUCUGCCGUCUGCUGGGGACGCCCCACAGCUCCGGCUCCAGAGAUAAAGUGGGGAUGGGAAAGGGAGGGUGGCUCACCCAGGGUGGGGGCGGUGGAGGCGGGGCUGUCAGCCACUGUGAGGUCACCAGGAGGGGUGACGUGAGGGCUGAGUUACAGCCAGGGUGGGGCUGGGGCAUAGCCCGGGCUGUGGGGCUGGGGGCAGGUGGGAACUGACAGGACACAAAGACAUGGCCAGAGCUGGGACUGGGGGUGUCAGAGGCCCUGUAGUAACAGGAACGGAGGACAGACGCCCAGGCAGCUCCAGCUCCUUCCUGGGCCCUUCCAGCCCCCGCCCUCGCGCGGGGCUCACCAGGAUGUAAAGGGCCCCCUCCGAGCUCUUCUCAUACUCCUUGAUGGUGGAAAACACAGACAGCACGAGGCAGGAGAAAACCAGGAGGAACCUGGGGGCAGGGAACGCGUGUUCAGCCAGGCCGCAGCAGGGCACCAGCAUGGCCGCAUCUCCAGAACGCAGGACCCCACUCCCCACCCACCCCACCAGAGCACACUCAGGCCAGAGGGCACCCCCACAGCCACCUCCCGGGACCCCGAACUCCACAGUGGCACCGUGCGCAGCUGCCCCCUCCAGGACGCGCCCCCCUCUCCACUCUGGCCCCCGCCCCCUCUGUCUGGUUUCAGCCUGGCAGCCUCAUCCUUUGGCAACGUCUCCAAAACUCUGAGUCAAAUGGGAACAGCAAGGCCCGCCCAUCAACUGCUACAAACACAGGAACAAGCAAAACCCCUGGGGCAGAAGGCACCCGAUCAGCCUUCCCUUCUCCUCACUCUCGGCCACCUCCUCCAGAUCCCAAUGCAGAGCGCUUCUCUCUGCCAGUUAAAUCUGGAGCCAAGCAACAAGAGCUCCUCGGAUCACCUUCUUUCCAGCCUCAUCCUGGCUGCCAGGAGGCUCAGUUUCUCCUUCCUCCCGGGUUGCAGGCACCUCCUCCCGCCAGUGACUUCCACCGUGAUUGCUCUUCCCAUCCAUGUCCCAAGCGAUUACCUCACUCACUGAUCCUUCUUCAAUUUCCCCUCAGAUGCUCAAGUUCACGCCCCACCAAAACUCCCCCAAAUGCAUGUGUUCUGGGACGUGAAGAGGACGUGUCCAACGUCCAGGUCCUUUGUCACAGCCAUAAAGGAGGCCAUGCGUGGGACACGCCCUCAUUCCAGGCAAUGUGAGAGACGCCUUCACCUUGACCGUGUUGCUGCCUCUCGUUCCAACCGUGCUCAGAACCAGGAGCCGGCGGGGACGGAGCCACAGAGCAGCCGCUUCCCCGUGUCCGCGCCCCUGUGCACACUCGCCAUCACCUUGCACACCCGGCAGCACCACACGGCCGCCACGGAGCCUGUGGGGCCCUCCUGUGUCUCAAACCCGAGCCCUUCCCCAGUGCCCACAUCCAGGUUGUCAACUAGGAGGAGGCAGGCCUGGGGCACUGGCAGGAGGAUGGGUGAGCACAGGAAAACCUGCCUGAAGAUGAGGUCACAACGAGGAAGGCAGCACAGAGGGAUGGGAGAAGAGACCUUAAGACACAUAAUGUGAGCACCUGGAUCCAGCUGUGCCUGAAGCCCCUUGGACUUCCAGGUUAUGUAAGCCCAUUCCUUACAACUCUUUGGAUUUGUUUUCUGCCCCUUGCAAAUAAAAGACCCUGACCUUUCAGGCUAUGAGCAGCUGACGGACAUGGGUGUGUCCCUCCUCUGAACCCACGCCUGACUCCACCAUGCAGUGGCCACAUGCUACUCCAACCCACAGCUCCCCCCUGGGCAGACAAGCCACGCGGCUGUGACACAAGCUGCCACGGAUCAAAAAGGAAAAACAAGUCCUCGGUGUGCGGAGCUAUUUAGUGAGCACAGGGCACUCUACCAAGAAGGAUAAGACGUCUGUUUAAGAACCAAAAAACAAAAGAGAAGAAGAAAAACUGGCCAUGCAUCAGCACUUCGGGAGAAGGCCGAGGUGGGCAGAUCACUUGAGGUCAGGAGUUCGAAACUAGCCUGGCCAAUAUGGUGAAAUUAUGUCUCUACUAAAAAUACAAAAAUUAGCCAGGCAUGGUGGCGCGUGCCUGUAAUCCCAGCUACUUGGAAGGCUGAGGCAGAAGAAUUGCUUGAACCCAGGAGGCGGAGGCUGCAGUGAGCCGAGACCAUGCCACUGCACUCCAGCCUAGGCAAUAGAGCAAGACUCUGUCUCAAAAAGAAAAAAAAGAAACAAACAAAUAAAAAAGUAAAGACCAAGUCCAACCAGAUAAGGACACACACAAGCCAGUCCUCCAUGCUCAGUUCUCCCUGGAGGCCUCUGUCUUCACCGCCGCUGUCUCACAGUCGCCUGCAGCAGCCCAGGCCAGGCCUCUGGGCUGGUAUUAACUCUCUGUUCUGUGUCUUUUUCCUCGUGAUGUUAAACCUCACUUUGGGUGGAAAGUGGAACUUGACCAGAUGAGCACACGGCAAUGUACAGUCUGCAACACUGACCAACAUGGAGUGGCCGUGACCGCAGCAUGACCCAGAAGCUCUAGGGAGAACCUGCCUGCUUGGGAACUCCACGUAGCUCAUGGCUUUUGUGAUUGAAACAGCAUCAAUAAAAGCCUGACCCUGUGGAAAGACACAAACCCGCGUGGACCUCAUGUCAAGCCCGUCCUAUGUGCAAAGUGCCUCCAGGACCCGGGGCCUCGGGCAAGCUCCCUUCAGCCAAGAACAAGAGGGUGGCUGUGCUGUUCCAGGCUCGAUUCACAACGGACACCCCAACGGCUUCCCUCUGCCCGGACCCAGUCAUCUCCCCAACGAACACCCUCUGGAUGUGGGGAGGCCGGCAUGGCCCCCUGCAGCCGCCCUCCCACUCACUGGAGACCCCCAAGUCCAGGCAGCCUGAGUCCUCCGGCCUGGGCAGGCGCAGUCCCCAUAGCUCCGCCUUCCGACUCCCCAGCAGCGGCCUCUGCUGCACGGCCCAGGGCGUCCAGGGCAGGGAAGGCAGGGCACAGGGUGGUCCUCCCGAGAUCUGCCCCAGGAAGGACCAUGGCCGUGUUUCAGAAGCACUCAGGACCAUGUGGUCCGAAGCAGAGGUGGAGGCUUUGGGCACAGGCGGCCCGGCCAAGGUCAGCCCCACCACCUGCCCAUCCCAGCACCAGAGCCAACUGAGGCCUGGCACUGCUCGGCCACAGGCAGCGGCGGCAGAAACUGUGCCUGUGAAGGCUCUGGCCGAGCACCCAAACCAAAGAUGAAGGCGCAGGAGCCAAAGCCACAUUUUAAAGCAUCUCAUGUGAAAACUGUCAGCAUCUCUAGCAUGAGCCCAAGUUCAGAUUCUACCCACACACACCCCGAGGACGUCCCAGCCCCAUGCCAUUGAGAAGCUGUAAUCCAGUGCCUGCCUCUGAGCUGAGGGCAGCAGGCUGGAAACUCGGCACGACUUCCACGUUGCUGUCUUGAGGAAAAUCCUUUUUCUUCCAGAAACUUCAGUCUUUGCUCUCAAGGCCUCAGCUGCUGGGACGAGGCCCAGCCCCAUGGCAGAGGGACACUAGCUUCACUUGAAGUCCGCUGAGCUAAGUGUUCACGCCGGAAAACACCUGCACAGCAGCGUCAAGGCAGGUGCGUGGCCACCAGCCGGGCACCGUGGCGGGGCUGACUGGAUGCAUAAAGUGGGCAUCACGGGCUGGGAGAGGACACAGGGGCCUCGGCCAGAGGCCUGGGACUGCAGCAGGAACAGGCUGAUUCAGCGGUGCAGGCGCGCAACACCCUGACUGAUGUUCAAGGACAGUGGUGGGGAGAGCCAGGUCUCUCGCCGGCAGCUCGGCUCCCCGACAGAUCCAGGCCACACACCCGCCCAGGACCCCACCAGCCGGCCUGCAGCCGCAGAGAGAGGCCCUACCGGGACCCGCCUCGUGGGAACUGGGAGCCUCCACACAGGCCAGCCAGAACACCUCGGCCCGGGACGACACGCCAGCCGGAGCUCCAGCUGCAGGGGCAGGGGUUGGGGAAGGGGCUUCCAGGAAGAAGAGUCCCUGCAGGCUAAGGGGAGGGGUCCAGGGACGCAUGAGAAGCUCGAAGUGCAGCACCGCAUGUGGAGGCCGGGCGGGUCCAAGAGCCAGCGCCUGCCCCACGCUGCACCCCUCCCCGCCACCCGCAAGACCACAAGCCAUAGCCGGGUCCUGCCCUAUUCAGCUGCCGCCCCGCAGUGGACAUAGGCACAGCAGCACGCGGAAGGCCCUGUAUUAGGCACCCCAGGAGACACCGGUCCUCCGCCCGCCGCCACAGGCCCACGGCUUCCAGCUCGAAGGCACUGGCCCUGAGGCACCGUCACCAGGGGGCACUCGGCCCCACCCACGUGUGCAACCCAGAGGCCUCCGCCAGGCCCCGAAGCUCCCGGCUCCAAGCAGGGGCGCUGGCAGCGGUGCCGAGGCCCAAGCAAACAAACCACACGCAAGGGACGUCCCAUUUCCAAGCCGCGAUUAAUUUCCUGUGCUCGUUGGCCAAGUUCUUCAAUUAACUGAGCCCUGGGAAAAAUGCGCAGACAUCUCGUGCGCCUUCUGCGGGCGAUCCUCUGUCUGCCUAACGGGGUUUUCUCUGGACUCUCAGUGGGGUGGGAGCAGGGGAGGACGCGGGGGUCCCUGGCUUCCCAGUCAGGAGCCCAGAGGCUUGGGAGGCAGGAGGGGCGCAGCGGGGACACAGAGGGCAUCACACAUCACAGGAGCGGCUCAGGGACCCAGCUCAGCCCAGCAGAGCCACGCACAUAAUCCUGUGGGCUUCCCGGAGGAGGCAUGUACAGGGGCAGGGGGGCUACAGGGUACAGAGGAGUUGGCCACAAGGGGAGAAGGGGAAGGGCAUUCCCAGCAGAGGGAGGAGCAGGUGGGGAGGCCUGGAGAGAGAAGGGCAGGCGUAUCUGCCUCCCACCGAGGAUGAGGCUGACCAGACUUGAGAACAGGGUGGGGUGGGGACAAGGACAGCCCCACAGACUUGAAUUCUGAGUCCUUGGUGCUGCAUCCAGGAAGGCAGCUCCUCGGGCUGCAGGGAACCUUCCUCUAAAUUAAAAAAGCACGAGGUCCAGAUCCCGA